rnacentral:rRNA from 1 species
UACGAAGGGGGCUAGCGUUGCUCGGAAUCACUGGGCGUAAAGCGUACGUAGGCGGCUUUCUAAGUCAGGGGUGAAAUCCUGGAGCUCAACUCCAGAACUGCCUUUGAUACUGGGAAGCUCGAGUCCGGAAGAGGUGAGUGGAACUCCGAGUGUAGAGGUGAAAUUCGUAGAUAUUCGGAAGAACACCAGUGGCGAAGGCGGCUCACUGGUCCGGUACUGACGCUGAGGUGCGAAAGCGUGGGGAGCAAACAGG